rnacentral:lncRNA from 1 species
CGUGUUUUUCUUUUCUUUUUUUUUUGUUUCUUAAUAUUUUUAUUGUAAUUAUUGUCGGCAAAUACGUAGUAAAAGUCAGAUCGGUUGGAUGUAAAAGAAAAUUGCCAUUCAACCUAAGAAAAAGGUGAUGAAGGUCGUCGGAAUGACUUUCACCUGCGGGACCUCCUGUUUAGACGACCCUGAAACUUUAGUCGCGCAAUAAAUCAUCAUACCGAGUCACUUUUUUUUUUUUUUUUUUUUUAAAACUUAUUUUUCUCCUGGAGAUAUAAGCAUGUAUGCAUCUGUAGCAAGAUGGAUUAAUGAGUAUUGCCAAACUUAGCGCAAAAGAUUAACUGAUAAUGACUCGAUUUGCUCUCGCUUAUAGGAUAGACCCCAUUGUUUGUCACUGUAACUGGAGAUGGUUUAUCAGAAAGAAAAGCCACUGAUUAGAUGUUGCGAAAUUCUUUACUCGUCUGACAUCAAUUCCUAGUAAUGCUACUUGAUAGCACGAUUCAAAGAAUUCUAGAUUGCCCGCUUUUGUUUUUAAUAAAUGCAAUUUACAAAGGUAUUUAUUUAUUUUUUUUUAAAUAUUUUCCAUUUGCUCAUCAGCCAUCCGUAAGCCUUAGAAAAAUAAUCUACACGUUCCUGUCGUCUUCUUCUUCUUCUUCUUCUUCUUCUUCUUCUUCGAGAGAGAGAGAGAGAUAAAAGUGUGCGUCUUUGGCAACACAACUGCGAUGUUUUCUAUUCUCGUUCAUGCUAAGGUUGGAGUUCAUUGUACGGCGCGUCGACCGGUGCAAAAACUCCCCCACUAAUUAGGUAUCUGCCAUUGACAAGAAUACGCGGAAUGUCACCCACUAACGUUCCCUUUAAUGCUACCAUUAUUAGUUUUUCUCCCCCUCAUUCUUGUUGUCCUUACGACCUUGGUUAGUAGACGCUUCGCUUGUCUUGUUGGCACCUAAGCGCCAAUCGAAACCUCUUCUGUGUUAGGGUAACUGGGUGUGUCGUGUAAAUCGCCGUUUCCCCCUUUGUGAGUCACAUGCAUAUCGUGAUUGUUGCUUCCGUGCUGGACAAUCGAUUUUUACUAUCGCCUCCGUAUAUUUGCUCUCUCUCACCCCCAUUGUCUCUUGCCUAACGUUUAAGCUGUCUUUUAUGCUUUCUUAAACAAGAUACUUAUUCAUAUAUGGAUAUUCUAUUUUUUACUGUCCUGUCGGAAAUUUAUUUUUGUUUUCAUUCCGUUAAACGAAGCAACGAGCGUGAGCGUUCGAUGGUAUGUGCAUGACAACAAUUUGGAAGAGUUUGCAGGAAAUAGAAUAUUUUCUGGACUCGAGCCAUCAGCUUUACACAAGCUUGUUCUGAAAUGACGAUGAACAGACAUCAAGUGGGGUGGCCAAAACUAACUAAAAAUCAUUCUUUUAACUGUUGUUUUAAUGUAGUAGAGAUUUAUUUUCAGUCUGAACCUGUGCACUAAUUGCGUUCUUGUUUUAAUCUCUCUCUUUUUUUUUUUUUUUUUUCAUGAAUUAGUUACUAUUUCUAAUACAAUGCUAAAUGAUGAAAAUUACAUUACCAAUAUUGGAAUUCCAAAA